rnacentral:rRNA from 1 species
UGGGGAAUAUUGCACAAUGGAGGGAACUCUGAUGCAGCGACGCCGCGUGAGUGAUGAAGGACUUCGUUUCGUAAAACUCUGUUCUAUGGGAAGAAAAGGACUGUACCAUAGGAGAAAGCUCCGGCUAAAUACGUGCCAGCAGCCGCGGUAAUACGUAUGGAGCGAGCGUUGUCCGGAAUUAUUGGGCGUAAAGGGUGCGCAGGCGGCUUUACAAGUUGGAUGUGAAAUAUUGUGGCUCAACCACAAACGUGCAUCCAAAACUGCAAAGCUUGAGUUAAGGGGAGGUAAGUGGAAUUCCUGGUGUAGCGGUGGAAUGCGUAGAUAUCAGGAGGAAUACCGGUGGCGAAGGCGACUUACUGGACUUAAACUGACGCUCAGGCACGAAAGCGUGGGGAGCAAACAGG